GACGAACGCUGGCGGCGUGCCUAAUACAUGCAAGUCGAGCGGACUGAUUAAGAGCUUGCUCUUAUGACGUUAGCGGCGGACGGGUGAGUAACACGUGGGCAACCUGCCCUGUAGAUCGGGAUAACACCGAGAAAUCGGUGCUAAUACCGGGUAAUAUCUGAGAUCACAUGAUCUUAGGUUAAAAGAUGGCUCCGGCUAUCACUACAGGAUGUGCCCGCGGCGCAUUAGCUAGUUGGUAAGGUAAUGGCUUACCAAGGCGACGAUGCGUAGCCGACCUGAGAGGGUGAUCGGCCACACUGGGACUGAGACACGGCCCAGACGCCUACGGGAGGCAGCAGUAGGGAAUCUUCCGCAAUGGACGAAAGUCUGACGGAGCAACGCCGCGUGAGUGAUGAAGGGGUUCGGCUCGUAAAGCUCUGUUGUUAGGGAAGAAACAGUACCGAACGAACUAGGUCGGUACCUUGACGGUACCUAACCAGAAAGCCACGGCUAACUACGUG
rnacentral:rRNA from 1 species